UAUUAGCGGAUCAACCGAGCGCAUCGACGUGAUUGAUGAUAACUGUUUAACCUCAGGCCGUUUCAGGCGGAGGAAAAGGGAAGAAAUAUUUGCCCCAUCAACUUGGAUGGUUGGAUCGUGGCCAACCAUUGUGAUAACGGGUACGGAGAAUUAGGGUUCGAUACCGGAGAGGGAGCCUGAGAGAUGGCUACCACUUCUAAGGAAGGCAGCAGGCGCGCAAAUUACCCAAUGUUAAUUCAGUGAGGUAGUGACAAAAUAUAUCAAUGUGGGUUCGAAAAGGAUUCAUAAUUGAAAUGAGAGAGAUUUAAAUCCCCCAUCGAGUAGCAAUUUGAGGGCAAGUCUGGUGCCAGCAGCCGCGGUAAUUCCAGCUCAAAUAGCGUAUCCUGAAUUUGCUGCAGUUGAAAAGCUCGUAGUCGGAACUUUUCUCCGGCGACAACGCUAGCCGUCAGGUGUAGCGGGGUGGACGGAGAAAGAGCACACGUUCGGAACGGACGCACUUCAGUGGGCGACGUUGGACGGACGUGCUCGUUUACCUUGGCAACAAGUGGACUGUUCAAAGGAGACCAAUGGGUAGCGAACAAACUCCAUGGGAUAAUGGAAAAGGUGUCUUCCUCGUGCUUGCUCGGUUCGAGGAGGAAGACAAAUGAUAAAUAGGAAUAGUUGGGGGUAUUUGUAUUUAAUUGUCAGAGGUGAAAUUCUUAGAUUUAUUAAAGACAAACAAGUGCGAAAGCAUUUACCAAGGAUGUUUUCAUUGAUCAAGAACGAAAGUUUGGGGAUCGAAGACGAUCAGAUACCGUCGUAGUCCAAACCAUAAACGAUGCCGACCAGCGAUUGGGAGACGUUCAUCGAAGACUCCCCCAGCAGCUUGUGAGAAAUCACAGUAAGGUUCUUGGGGAAGUAUGGUCGCAAGUCUGAAACUUAAAGAAGUUGACGGAAUGACACACCAGGAGUGGAGCCUGCGGCUUAAAUCGACACAACACGGGGAAACUCACCAGGUCCGGAUGGCUUUAGGAUUGACAGAUUUGAAGCUCUUUCUUGAUUAGCCAAAAGGUGGUGCAUGGCCGUUCUUAGUUCGUGGAGUGGUUUGUCUGGUCAAUUCCGUUAACGAACGAGAUCUUGACCUGCUAACUAGGCUCGUGGGGGAUUCUUCCAAAGCACUGCGGCGUUGAGUUGGAAGUCUUUGGAUGGAAGGCAAGACGUCGUGGUGUGGAGUUCCUCAUUGAGCUUCUUAGAGGGACAAUCUGCAUCAAAGCAGAAGGAAGCACUAGUCAAUAACAGGUCUGUGAUGCCCUUAGAUGUCCUGGGCCGCACGCGCGCUACACUGACACAGUCAACGAGUUUUAACCUGGUUCGAGAGGAUUGGGUAAUCUUUGGAAACUGUGUCGUGAUGGGGAUUGAUCGUUGUAAUUCGAUCAUCAACGAGGAAUUUCUAGUAAGCGCGUUUCACAUAGAGCGCGCUGAUAACGUCCCUGCCCUUUGUACACACCGCCCGUCGCUUGUACCGAUUGGGUUUUAAGGUGAAAGAUUGGGAGAGUGUGUUCUGGGCAGGGAAACUUGCAAAGGAUGCGUUUGAACUUUUUUAAACCUUAAAAUUUAGAGGAACAAGAAGUCGUAACAAGGUU
rnacentral:rRNA from 1 species